rnacentral:rRNA from 1 species
UAAGGGAUAUUGCGACAAUGGACGAAAGUCUGACGCAGCAACGCCGCGUGCGGGAUGACGGCCUUCGGGUUGUAAACCGCUUUUCGGGGGGAAGAGGAAGGACGGUACCCCCGGAAUAAGUCUCGGCUAACUACGUGCCAGCAGCCGCGGUAAAACGUAGGAGGCGAGCGUUAUCCGGAUUUACUGGGUGUAAAGCGCGUGCAGGCGGUUUAGCAAGUCGUGCGUGAAAGCGCCCGGCUCAACCGGGCGAGGUCGUGCGAAACUGCUUAACUUGAGGUAGGUAGAGGCGUGUGGAAUUCCGGGUGUAGUGGUGAAAUGCGUAGAGAUCCGGAGGAACACCAGUGGCGAAGGCGACACGCUGGGCCUGACCUGACGCUCAGACGCGAAAGCAUGGGUAGCGAACG